AUGCCUCCUGAUAUGGGCGGUUGUGGGCGCGUGGCGGCGGUGCUGUGCUGCGCGGUCGUCGUGGCGUGCAUGGGCGGCGGCGCGCUCGCCGUGGACGCGCAGGGCGCGGCGCUGCUGGCGUGGAAGCGCACGCUGGGCGGCGGCGGCGCGGGGGCGCUGGGGGGCUGGAGCUCCGCGGACAAGUCGCCGUGCCGGUGGACCGGCGUGUCCUGCAAUGCCGACGGCGGCGUCACGGAGCUGAGCCUGCAGUUCGUCGACCUGCUGGGCGGCGUGCCGGACAAUUUGGCGGCCGCUGUGGGCGCCACGCUGGAGCGGCUGGUGCUCACCGGCACCAACCUGUCCGGGCCCAUCCCGCCGCAGCUCGGCGACCUGCCGGCGCUCACGCACCUUGAUCUCAGCAACAAUGCGCUCACGGGCUCUAUUCCGGUGAGCCUAUGCCGGCCUGGGAGCAAGCUGGAGAGUCUUGCUGUCAACUCCAACCACCUCGAGGGCGCCAUCCCGGACGCCAUCGGCAACCUCACGGCGCUGCGCGAGCUCAUCUUCUACGACAACCAGCUGGAGGGCGCCAUCCCGGCCUCCAUCGGCAGGAUGGCCGGCCUCGAGGUGCUCCGCGGCGGCGGCAACAAGAACCUCCAGGGCGCGCUCCCGCCGGAGAUCGGCAACUGCUCCAACCUCACCAUGCUCGGCCUCGCCGAGACCAGCAUCUCGGGGCCCCUCCCUGCGAGCCUCGGCCAGCUCAAGAACCUCGACACGCUGGCCAUCUACACGGCGCUGCUCUCCGGCCCGAUCCCGCCGGAGCUCGGGAAAUGUGCCAGCCUGCAGAACAUCUACCUGUACGAGAACGCGCUGUCGGGCUCCAUCCCGGCGCAGCUCGGCGGCCUCAGCAACCUCAAGAACCUGCUGCUGUGGCAGAACAACCUCGUCGGCGUCAUCCCGCCGGAGCUGGGCAAGUGCACGGGGCUCAACGUCAUCGACCUGUCCAUGAACGGCAUCACCGGUCACAUCCCGGCGUCGCUCGGGAACCUCUUGGCGCUGCAGGAGCUGCAGCUCAGCGUCAACAAGAUGUCCGGCCCGAUCCCGGCGGAGCUCGCGCGGUGCACCAACCUCACCGACCUCGAGCUCGACAACAACCAGAUAUCCGGCACCAUCCCGGCCGAGAUCGGCAAGCUCACGGCGCUGCGCAUGCUGUACCUCUGGGCCAACCAGCUCACGGGCACCAUCCCGCCGGAGAUCGGCGGCUGCGUCAGCCUCGAGUCGCUCGACCUGUCGCAGAACGCGCUCACCGGGCCCAUCCCGCCGUCCAUGUUCAGGCUGCCCAAGCUGUCCAAGCUGCUGCUCAUCGACAACGUCCUCUCCGGCGAGAUACCGCAGGAGAUCGGCAACUGCACGUCGCUCGUCCGGUUCCGGGCAAGCGGCAACCACCUCGCCGGCGCCAUACCUGCGCAGAUUGGCAAGCUCGGCCACCUCAGCUUCCUGGACCUAAGCUCGAACAGGUUGUCUGGCGCCAUCCCCGCCGAGAUCGCCGGGUGCCGGAACCUCACGUUCGUCGACCUGCACGGCAACGCCAUCACCGGCGUGCUGCCGCAGGGCCUGUUCCAAGGAAUGAUGUCCUUGCAGUACCUCGACCUCUCGUACAACUCCAUUGGCGGCUCGCUCCCGUCGGAGGUCGGCAUGCUCGGUUCGCUCACCAAGCUCGUUCUGGGCGGGAACCGGCUCUCUGGUCAGAUACCUCACGAGAUCGGCUCGUGCGCGCGGCUUCAGCUACUGGACCUCGGCGGCAACUCGCUGUCCGGCGCCAUACCGGCGAGCAUCGGCAAGAUUGCAGGUCUGGAGAUCGGUCUUAACCUCAGCUGCAACGGCCUGUCGGGUGCCAUGCCCAAGGAGUUCGCUGGGCUCACGCGGCUCGGCGUGCUCGACGUCUCGCACAACCAGCUAUCCGGAGAUCUCCAGCUGCUGUCCGCUCUCCAGAACCUCGUCGCGCUCAACGUCUCCUUCAACAAUUUCUCCGGGCGCGCUCCGGAGACGGCGUUCUUUGCCAAGCUGCCCAUGAGCGACGUCGAGGGCAACCCAGCGCUCUGCCUCUCCCGGUGCCCCGGUGACGCCAGCGACCGUGAGCGUGCAGCACAGCGCGCCGCUCGCGUCGCCACGGCCGUUCUGCUCUCCGCUCUCGUGGUCCUCCUGAUUGCCGCGGCGGUCGUGCUACUGGGCCGCCGGCGCCAAGGCUCGAUUUUCGGCGGUGCGCGGCCGGACGAGGACAAGGACGCCGAGAUGCUGCCGCCGUGGGACGUGACGCUGUACCAGAAGCUGGAGAUCAGCGUGGGCGACGUGACCCGCAGCCUCACGCCGGCGAACGUGAUCGGGCAAGGCUGGUCCGGCGUGGUGUACCGCGCGAGCGUCCCGUCCACCGGGGUCGCCAUCGCCGUGAAGAAGUUCCGGUCGUGCGACGAGGCGUCCGUGGAGGCGUUCGCGUGCGAGAUCGGCGUGCUGCCCCGCGUGCGCCACCGCAACAUCGUGCGGCUCCUGGGGUGGGCCUCCAACCGCCGGGCGCGGCUCCUGUUCUACGACUACCUCCCCAACGGCACCCUCGGCGGCCUGCUGCACGGCGGCGCGACCGGCGCCCCCGUGGUGGAGUGGGAGCUGCGGCUCUCGAUCGCCGUCGGCGUGGCCGAGGGCCUCGCCUACCUGCACCACGACUGCGUGCCGGCGAUCCUCCACCGCGACGUCAAGGCGGACAACAUCCUUCUCGGGGAGCGCUACGAGGCGUGCGUCGCCGACUUCGGCCUCGCCAGAGUCGCCGACGAGGGCGCCAACUCGUCGCCCCCGCCGUUCGCCGGAUCCUACGGGUACAUCGCUCCCGAGUACGGAUGCAUGAUCAAGAUCACGACCAAGAGCGACGUGUACAGCUUCGGGGUGGUGCUGCUGGAGAUCAUCACGGGGCGGCGGCCGGUGGAGCACGCGUUCGGCGAGGGGCAGAGCGUGGUGCAGUGGGUGCGCGAGCACCUCCACCGCAAGUGCGACCCGGCGGAGGUGGUCGAUGCGCGGCUGCAGGGCCGGCCGGACACGCAGGUCCAGGAGAUGCUGCAGGCCCUCGGGAUCGCGCUGCUCUGCGCCAGCACGCGCCCGGAGGACCGGCCGACGAUGAAGGACGUGGCGGCGCUCCUCCGCGGCCUCCGGCACGACGACGGCGCCGAGUCGCGGAAGAUGAGCGGCGGCGGCGGCGGCGGGUCCUUCGGCAAGUGGAGCGAGCAGAGUAGACCGGUGCCGCUGCCGCGCCCGGGCCAGACGCAGGCCCAGACCCACUCCAGCUCGCUGGCCUACUCAACAACCGGGAGCGUGUAG
rnacentral:rRNA from 1 species